rnacentral:lncRNA from 1 species
GGCGCCGCGACCAGAACUGGGGGUGGCAAGUAGAGGAGGAGAGUCGGCGACGCCGCCAGAAGCUGUACGCCAGGCCGGGGCGGCGGGAGCCGCGGGAGCCAGAGAGCGGGCGCCAGGAGCGCGACAGGAGGUUCCCUGAGGAGCAGGAGCUAAGGCAGGAAAGGGAGGAGGAGCAGGCACGGGACAGGAGGUUCCGUGAGGAGCAGGAGCUGCGACAGGAAAGGGAGAGAGAGCAGGCACGGAACAGGAAAUUCCGUGAGGAAAAAGAGCUCCGACAGGAAAGGGAGAGAGAGCAGGCACGUGACAGGAGGUUCCGUGAGGAAAAAGAGCUCCGUCAGGAAAGGGAGAGAGAGCAGGCACGGGACAGGAGGUUCCGUGAGGAAAAAGAGCUCCGUCAGGAAAGGGAGAGAGAGCAGGCACGGGACAGGAGGUUCCGUGAGGAGCAGGAGCUGCGACAGGAAACGGAGGAGGAGCAGGCACGGGACAGGAGGUUCCGUGAGGAAAAAGAGCUCCGACAGGAAAGGGAGAGAGAGCAGGCACGGGACAGGAGGUUCCGUGAGGAACAGGAGCUGCGACAGGAAACGGAGGAAGAGCAGCUGAGCCACCAGGAGCGCGACAGAAGAUUCCGAGAGCAGGAGCUCCGUCAGGAAAGGCAGGAAGAACAGGCACGGAACAGAAAAUUCCUUGAGGAAAAAGAGCUCCGUCAGGAAAGGCAGGAAGAACAGGCACGGGACAGGAAAUUCCGUGAGGAACAGGAGCUCCGACAGGAAAGGGAGGAAGAGCAGGCACGUGACAGGAAAUUCCGUGAGGAACAGGAGCUCCGACAGGAAAGGGAGAGAGAGCAGGCACGGGACAGGAGGUUCCGUGAGGAACAGGAGCUGCGACAGGAAAGGGAGAGAGAGCAGGCACGUGACAGGAAAUUCCGCGAGGAACAGGAGCUGCGACAGGAAAGGGAGGAAGAGCAGCUGAGCCACCAGGAGAGCAACAGAAGAUUCCGAGAGCAGGAGCUCCGUCAGGAAAGGCAGGAAGAACAGGCACGGAACAGGAAAUUCCGUGAGGAACAGGAGCUCCGACAGGAAAGGGAGAGAGAGCAGGCACGGGACAGGAAAUUCCGCGAGGAACAGGAGCUGCGACAGGAAAGGGAGGAAGAGCAGGCACGGGACAGGAAAUUCCGUGAGGAAAAAGAGCUCCGUCAGGAAAAGCAGGAAGAGCAGGAUCGCGAAAGGAAGUUCCGUGAGGAGGAGCAGCUGCGCCACCAGGAGAAGCGGGACAGGAAAUUCCGUGAGGAGCAGGAGCUCCGUCAAGACAGGGAGGAGGAGCAGCUGCGCCGCCAGGAGCGCGACAGAAGAUUCCGUGAGGAGGAGCAGCUCCGUCAGGAAAAGCAGGAAGAGCAAUUCCGCCGCAAGGAACGCGACAUAAAAUUCCACAGGGAGCAGGAGCUGGACCGGGAAAGGGAGGAAGCGCAGCUGCGCCGCCAGAAACUUGACAGAAAAUUCAAGGAGGAGGAACAGCUCCGUCAGGAAAGAGAGGAAAAGCAGCUGCGCCGCAGGGAACGAGAGCAACAGCUUCGGCAGGAACGUGACCGAAGAUUCCGUGAGGAACAGCUCCGUCAGGAAAGGAAGGAGGAGCAGCUGCGCCAUCAGGAACGCGACAGAAGAUUCCGUGAGGAGCAGCUGCGUCAGGAAAGGGAGGAGGAGGAGCAGCUGCGCCGCCAGGAGCGGGACAGUAGAUUCCGUAAGGAGGAACAGCUCCGUCAGGAAAGGAAGGAAGAGCAGCUGAGCAGCCAGGAACGACAAGGUCGCUACCGGGCUGAGGGGCCCUUUGUCAGGGAGAAGAAUAGUCAGGAGCAAGCACUGAGGCGAGAAGAGCAGAGAAGUCUCCUAGAGCGGGAGAGGAAAUUCCAAGAAGAGCAACUCCAACGCCAAGAAGAGGAGCAAAGGCGCAGCCAAGUCCGAGACAGACAAUCCCGAGAAGAAAAAGGUGACCUGGAGACCGGCAAACGCCAGUUUGCCCAUGUUCCAGUGGUGCGCUCCAGCCCCCUCUAUGAGUACAUCCAAGAGCAGAGAUCUCAAUACCGCCCUUAAGAGCUGCUACCAACAUGCUAACACCGGCCAAAGCUUCAAGCAAAAGAAAAUGAGAAGCACUGAGUACCAAAUGAUAACUCAUGUGCUUCUGGUUGUGGGGAAACUCUGAUGUUAGAAUGUGUCUUUUCUUCCAAAAUCUUAAGCUACAUUUAAUUACUUUUUACUCCUUGCCUUUUAGUCAUCCUCUGAUAGGUCUUUACUACAAGAUGUCUUUGCUCUUUGGUGAAGAUUUGGUGUGCAUUUAAAAACAUAAAAAUCAUUUAACUUGUUUAUGGAGUUUUGUUUGAGGAACACGUUGAUGUAUUACCUUCAAAACUAACUAGAAUAAUACAACAAUUUGAGACUCAAGACAAGUCUAUUUUUAAUGGUUGACCAUAUUGUGAAGAUUUUACGUGUGUUUAAAAGUUAAAGAUGAUUUUUUUCCCUUGGAUCUAAAUUCCAUUAAUCUUUAUCUCCAAAAUGUUUUUGGUGUGUGUGUGUGUGUGUGUAUGUCAUGAUUAUCACAGAUUCCACUGAGUAAAUUUUUACAAUCCUUUAAUGAUGCAGGAGUGACUUCUGCAAGAAAAUUCUCUGUGAAAUUAGCCUAUAACUGAAAGAAAUAUUUGCUAAGAAUAAGAUUUAGCUUAAAGAUUUAGAAUUUUGGAUUUUUUUUAACAAUGAAUAGCACAUAAACACUUAAAGUCUCAUUAAGCAAAAGCAAGGUGUUUCUCAACCUCAGAGCUCAGAUUUUAAAAGUGUCUACUAUAGUUUGUAGUGCUCAGUUCUAGUCCUCCAAGUUUUGAUGGGUUUGAAAAUAUCACUUUUGUUAAUUUUAAUUUAGAGGGAACCUAAUCAGGAUCCUGUAAAUAUCUGUUUUGUUAUAGGGCCAAUAAGAAUGUGUAUUUGGAGAAAAGUGUGUGUGUGUGUGUGUGUGUGUGUGUGUGUGUGUGUGCGCACGCACAGAGGGGCAAGUUUCUAGAGGCCCUUGACAAGACUUAUCAGCCCAUAUUCCUUUAAAAACAUUACCUUGGAGAACUUCUUGCUGAAAUAAUUGGAUUGUAUGAAAACUUAAUAAAUGUUUGGCAAAUGAUUAUUUUUGUCCAUUUUAAUUAUGUGUCAAUCAUAACUCAAGGUCUAAUCAGGAAACUGACAUAACUUCCCAGUCAUGGGUAUUUUGUUUCUAUCAUCUAUGCCCAAAUAUGAAAAGGAGAGAAUCCUCUACUUUUCUCAUCCAUUUUUUCCAGUUAGAGUGAACCUUAUAUUAUUUCCAUCCUGCACUGAAGUUCUCUUUCCAAGUGUUUUUGUUCUUGGUUUCACCACUUUCUCUGCCCUUUCUUGCAGUGACUCACUGGUCAUAACAAAUACUGGUCCUCCCCACUCUGUCUGAGAAUGCAACAACCUUUUGGUCUCUACCGUCAGGCCAAUAGCCUAUUGUAGAAAAUGGCCAAAGUUUCAGAUCAGGAUUAUAGACAUAGCAGAUGACCUAGUGACUUAAGCAACAUAAUCCAUGAGAAACUGAAGCAGAAGAGCUAAAUAAUGAUCAUCUUAUUAUCCAAAAACCCCUGUGCUACCUGCUGGAGUCUAUAUUUAGUAUUCACCAUUUAGUAACUAAGAAUAAGUCCAAGAAGACCCUGAUCAGGAUAUAUCAUUUUUAAUUGUGAAUAUCAUGGAUAAGACAACGCCUUAUAAUUACAGUCACCCAACACUUUUGUCAACAGUAUAGAUGAGGAAACUAGGUCUAUAAUUUCUGAGUAUCAUUCUGAUACAGUAAGCACAUUCUGAAGCAGUAAGCACUUUCUAUAAGAAGUUUAGCCCUUCCUACACUUUAAUGCAAAUGGAAGGUACCCACCAAAGAUAGAACCAAGGAAUCCCUGAGACUAUCUUAGAAUUU